GAUGAACGUUGGCGGCAUGGAUUAGGCAUGCAAGUCGAGCGAGAAGGGUUUUGAAGCUUGCUUUGAAACCCGGAAAGCGGCGCAAGGGAGAGUAACGAGUAGUUAUCUACCCCAAGGCCCGGAAUAGCUGCGGGAAACUGCAGGUAAUGCCGGAUAAUAUCCCCGGAUCAAAGGUGUGAUUCCGCCUUGGGAGGAGACUGCUUUGUACUAGCUAGUUGGUAGGGUAAUGGCCUACCAAGGCUACGAUGCAUAGCGGGCGUGAGAGCGUGGCCCGGCUCACUGGGACUGAAACACUGCCCAGACACCUACGGGUGGCUGCAGUCGAGAAUCUUCGGCAAUGGGCGAAAGCCUGACCGAGCGAUGCCGCGUGCGGGAUGAAGGCCCUCGGGUUGUAAACCGCUGUCGUAGAGGAGAAAGGUCUGAUGAAGAAUCAGAUUUGAUCUAUUCUAGGAGGAAGUCCGGGCUAAGUUCGUGCCAGCCGCCGCCGUAA
rnacentral:rRNA from 1 species